rnacentral:tRNA from 1 species
UCCUCUUUAGCUCAGUUGGUUAGAGCACCUGACUGUUAAUCAGGGUGUCGUAGGUUCAAGUCCUACAAGAGGAG